CGCACGUUGCUUGAGAAGCAAACUUGAAAGAUCUGACGCACUGUGGGGAUCGAUGGCAUAUAAUGCGAAGAAGCCAGCAAGACGUUUAUAAUGUUGUACAUAACAUGUGAAAGCCGUCCCGUGGGUCUCACGCUUGAUGAGGCCGCAUGAACAAAAAUCACGCCCGGGCCAGAAGUGCUAGUGCGAUGAUUCCACCGACUGCUGUGAAGGUGCUCCGGUUCCACUAUUGUUGGCUACCACGAAGCACUUGGAUGGGCCUCGUGGGGACGUCAAUCAUUAUGAAAUGCCUUCUUCGUGGUUCAGGCCCGAAAAUUAUCUACAAGAUGAGUUUGUCUGCUGCAGCAAACGCCCGGCCCAAGACACGCAAUAUACCCGGGAAAGGCUGUGAAUAAUUCAGAGCCUCUGCGUUUCAAUUAGGAUGCAAACAUUAUCAAGAAACAUUUUCAAUAUUGGCGGCGAAUAAGUAGGGAGGACAUUGAUAGAACCAAACUAGUUAGAAGCGUACAUAAUAGCACUAAUAACAGUCGUGUGUAUCGUGAAAUAAAUGAAAAU